rnacentral:rRNA from 1 species
AGCGAACGCUGGCGGCAGGCCUAACACAUGCAAGUCGAACGAACCUUUCGGGGUUAGUGGCGGACGGGUGAGUAACCCGUGGGAACGUGCCUUUAGGUUCGGAAUAACUCAGGGAAACUUGUGCUAAUACCGAAUGUGCCCUUCGGGGGAAAGAUUUAUCGCCGUUAGAGCGGCCCGCGUCUGAUUAGCUAGUUGGUUGAGGUAAUGGCUCACCAAGGCGACGAUCAGUAGCUGGUCUGAGAGGAUGAUCAGCCACAUUGGGACUGAGACACGGCCCAAACUCCUACGGGAGGCAGCAGUGGGGAAUCUUGCGCAAUGGGCGAAAGCCUGACGCAGCCAUGCCGCGUGAAUGAUGAAGGUCUUAGGAUUGUAAAAUUCUUUCACCGGGGACGAUAAUGACGGUACCCGGAGAAGAAGCCCCGGCUAACUUCGUG